GACGAACGCUGGCGGCGUGCUUAACACAUGCAAGUCGAACGGAAAGGCCCUGCUUUUGUGGGGUGCUCGAGUGGCGAACGGGUGAGUAACACGUGAGAAACCUGCCCUUGACUUUGGGAUAACUUCAGGAAACUGGGGCUAAUACCGGAUAGGAGCUCCUGCUGCAUGGUGGGGGUUGGAAAGUUUCGGCGGUUGGGGAUGGACUCGCGGCUUAUCAGCUUGUUGGUGGGGUAGUGGCUUACCAAGGCUUUGACGGGUAGCCGGCCUGAGAGGGUGACCGGCGACAUUGGGACUGAGAUACGGCCCAGACUCCUACGGGAGGCAGCAGUGGGGAAUAUUGCACAAUGGGCGGAAGCCUGAUGCAGCAACGCCGCGUGCGGGAUGACGGCCUUCGGGUUGUAAACCGCUUUCGCCUGUGACGAAGCGUGAGUGACGGUAAUGGGUAAAGAAGCACCGGCUAACUACGUG
rnacentral:rRNA from 1 species